CCUACGGGUGGCUGCAGUGGGGGAUAUUGGACAAUGGGGGGAACCCUGAUCCAGCGACGCCGCGUGAGUGAAGAAGUAUUUCGGUAUGUAAAGCUCUAUCAGCAGGGAAGAAAAGCAUGACGGUACCUGACUAAGAAGCCCCGGCUAACUACGUGCCAGCAGCCGCGGUAAUACGUAGGGGGCAAGCGUUAUCCGGAUUUACUGGGUGUAAAGGGAGCGCAGACGGCAAUGCAAGCCUGGAGUGAAAGGCGGGGGCCCAACCCCCGGACUGCUCUGGGAACUGUAUAGCUAGAGUGCAGGAGAGGCAAGUGGAAUUCCUAGUGUAGCGGUGAAAUGCGUAGAUAUUAGGAGGAACACCAGUGGCGAAGGCGGCUUGCUGGACUGUAACUGACGUUGAGGCUCGAAAGCGUGGGGAGCAAACAGGAUUAGAUACCCUUGUAGUC
rnacentral:rRNA from 1 species